rnacentral:rRNA from 1 species
GAUGAACGCUGGCGGCGUGCCUAAUACAUGCAAGUCGAGCGAACAGAUGAGGAGCUUGCUCCUCUGACGUUAGCGGCGGACGGGUGAGUAACACGUGGAUAACCUACCUAUAAGACUGGGAUAACUUCGGGAAACCGGAGCUAAUACCGGAUAAUAUAUUGAACCGCAUGGUUCAAUAGUGAAAGACGGUUUUGCUGUCACUUAUAGAUGGAUCCGCGCCGCAUUAGCUAGUUGGUAAGGUAACGGCUUACCAAGGCAACGAUGCGUAGCCGACCUGAGAGGGUGAUCGGCCACACUGGAACUGAGACACGGUCCAGACCCCUACGGGAGGCAGCAGUAGGGAAUCUUCCGCAAUGGGCGAAAGCCUGACGGAGCAACGCCGCGUGAGUGAUGAAGGUCUUCGGAUCGUAAAACUCUGUUAUUAGGGAAGAACAAAUGUGUAAGUAACUAUGCACGUCUUGACAGUACCUAAUCAGAAAGCCACGGCUAACUACGUG